rnacentral:rRNA from 1 species
CCUACGGGAGGCAGCAGUAGGGAAUCUUCGGCAAUGGGCGAAAGCCUGACCGAGCAACGCCGCGUGAAUGAAGAAGCCCUUCGGGUUGUAAAAUUCUGUUAUAAGGGAAGAAAGGUGAUAGGAGGAAAUGACUAUCAAUUGACGGUACCUUAUGAGAAAGCCACGGCUAACUACGUGCCAGCAGCCGCGGUAAUACGUAGGUGGCAAGCG